UUUAAGGGCUGGCAGCCGCAAGGGAAGCAUCUCUACUUAAAGAUGUUCUCUUCUGGAAAGUUGGCAAGCACUGAUCCUCAGAAAGAGGUCCCUCCUCUGAGAAGAAGCAGCUGCUGUCCCUCUGUCUGGUGGUGGCAGUAUGCAGAGUGUGGAGUCUCACAUGGGAGCAGCAGGCACUGCAUCCAUUGGCAGCUGCUUGUGGAGCGGCCUUCCAGCUGACCUCCAUGCCAGCUCCAAAGGGAUGGCUGCUCAUAGGAGGCACCUCCCAGUGUUGUUUUUGGCCUCUAUUCCACCAACCUCUGACUUUUCCGAGCAUUUUGGCUUAGACUUGCUACUUUGUGUGAUGCACAGCUGUGGAGCAGCAAGCCCUCCUUGGAGCAUGGGAGAAUUAGAAGCAGUUUGCUUGAGAGGUUUUCUUCCUGAUCUAUCCGUGCAUGUGGCAGACAAAAGGCCAUUUUCUCCAUCCUCAUUAUAUAAAUAUGUUGCUGUCAGCUCUUUGGUAUUGUAUCAGUGGUUUGCCCACUCUGCUUUCACCCUUCUUUACUUGCCCUGGCACAGGUCCCUUGAUUUUUCAGUUGUUUUGAUUCUUUUGUGGCUGCUGAGAUCCAUAUGUUUUUAUUUAUAACCAUAGACAAGGUGAUUUUCUUGUCCUGAGUAUUAUAAUGACUCAGGGACUAAUCCUAUUUUUUAUAAAAAUUAGUGUAAGGUUUUCUUUUAUAUCUAUGGGGAAAGACUAACCCUCUCAAUGAUUGUGUCUUAGAAAAUGAUAUAAUUUGGGUUUGGUGUCAUAAUGUCUCAGUAAAUUCUUCCUGUUGUGCUGUCUAAUCCAAACAACAUGUGUUAUAUAUGUGAAUACACCUUAGGGUAUAAUCCUUGCUGUCUGUAGUUCUUUGUGUAGCUGCUAACUGGCAUAAUUUUAAAAAAAUUCUCAUUAGCUUGCUGCAGAUAGAGGGCUUAAUAGAUCACUGAUGACAAAUACAUUUUUAAAGUAUGCUGUGUCAAAUCCCUAGCUGUGAAUUGUGUGAGAGAGAAAUAGAUAUACUAGUUAUUGCAGUACGUAAUGCUGCUUUGCUUUAGUGUUUCUGGGAUAUUUUAAGACAGAAACACAUUUUAGCGGCUCAGCGAACCAAACUACUGAUGAAGUGUAUGAGAAAUGAACCUUGAAAACUGGAGUCUGGAUCUAGCUCUCCCUCCCUCUUUAACUUGCUCCAGCCCUUCCCUGAAGGUAAUAAUUCCCAAACUGAUGAGUUCAUUUUCUCACAUCUAUUAGACUUUCCCAUUCCCAUAAUUGUUUUUCUCAAGACAGUUACUCCCAGCAGAGAGACACUUUGUUCCACCUCCCUCUCAGAAGCUCCUUCAGUUCUGCUGGAAAUGUCUUCAGGCAGGCUUUCUCCGUCUGCUUGCUCCUCCCUGUGAAAGACUGCUGCCAGAAAUGGAGGACCUGGAGAACAAGUCUAGGUUGGGCAGCAGUAUUAUAUGUUGCCGUCCCCAACAACAGCGGACUAACCACAGCUGAAGAUUAUUCACCUUGAUCUAACAAGAGAAACAGGUGUUUUUCUAUAGCACAGGUGGAAGUUCUUGAAAGUUUUUGGAGGUAUGAUUUAUUUGUUUGCCUUUUUGGCUUUACUGCAGGAUCCAAACUGCCUGGCAGAAUAAACUUUCACUGUUAGUGUAGAAUUUGACCAGGGAGAUAGCUGUCUAAUAAGAGGUGGGAAAUGGCUGAUACUGUUAAACCUAGGGUAGAAAUGCCCCAUACCAAGGAAACAUAAAGGGGAAAACUUAUAGGAUGUGACAAGGAAUUCUGAACCUGCCCUUGCCCCUUUGACUGGUUCAGUGUUGCCCUCCAGCAUGCAUGGAGAGAGUAUUGCUUGUUCUCUCUUCAUCCUGCUUCUAGGGCCUCUAAAAGAGGUGUAGAGGGACCAUCACAUUCAAAGGAUGUGCUGCAGGGAAGUUAAUGGUCACAUGUGCCAGAUCUUGGAUAAAUUAUGACAUCUUCCUUUCCCUGCAUGCAAACUGGGUUUUGUUCUGCUUCGUAUUCAAAAUUCAGUGCAAUGUGUAUUUAGGAUAUACAUACAGAACUGUUAUUCUUCAUUAUCACAAAGUUAUGUAAUCAGGGUUGUUUGUUAAGACUUUUCUGACCCUACUCUUCAGGGGUUGUUAGUGUUCUAUAAUUUGUGUUUUCUGUUCUUGUUUUUUUGGAAUGCUAUGUGCAGCUUAUAAAAUGCUUUUAUCCUUCCUCUCCAAAAGCAAUCAAUCUGGUCACAGACCCCAUUCCAUAUCUGGGACCAGUAGAUAUAUUGGCAGCUUUCAGGGCUAUAAGGACACUCAGAGGCUGUUACUAUUUUUCACUGUUACUGUUUUUCUUUCGCUGUAAACAAUCUUCUGGGAUUGUCUCAGUGCAGCCCUUCUCAUUUUUUCUGUUUAAAAAAAAAAAUCUUCUGUAUUAAAGUGUAUCAUACGUU
ensembl:lncRNA